rnacentral:rRNA from 1 species
UGCCUACGGGAGGCAGCAGUGAGGAAUAUUGGUCAAUGGGCGCGAGCCUGAACCAGCCAAGUAGCGUGAAGGAUGACUGCCCUACGGGUUGUAAACUUCUUUUAUAAAGGAAUAAAGUGAGGCACGUGUGCCUUUUGGUAUGUAUUUUAUGAAUAAGGAUCGGCCAACUCCGUGCCAGCAGCCGCGGUAAUACGGAGGAUCCGAGCGUUAUCCGGAUUUAUUGGGUUUAAAGGGUGCGUAGGCGGACUGGAAAGUCAGCGGUAAAAUCGAGAGGCUCAACCUCUUUCCGCCGUUGAAACUGUCGG